rnacentral:lncRNA from 1 species
GGGAGAGAUUUAGAUAAAAUGUUCAAUAAAAAUUAAUAUUUUAUAAAUUAAAACAAUCAAAGUGUUAAAUUUGGAAAAACUGAAUAAUGCUACCUAAGAAAUUUUAACACUGCAACAUAAAAAAUAUGUAAAUCUUUUAAAAGAACUUCUAAAAUUUGGAGGAAGGCUCUAUUUGAUGAAGAUGACAGUGCCAAACUCAGCGAUGCAGCGUAUAAACUCAUCAUCCGUCUAUAAUCGAUUUUAGCCUCGGAGCCCAUGGAGGAGGAAAAGAAAGUAAAGAAGGAGAGAAGGGGACUUUUGCAUGGAUUUCUGCGAUUUACGGUUUAGAUUAGGGUUGAGGUGGAUAGAUCAUUAAUCAACCGUUAUGUACAUAGGAAAGGUGAAGGGUUUGGUUAAAGUGGGCUAAAGUGGGUGGACGUUUGGUUAAAGUGGGCUAAAGUGGGUGGACCAUUAAUUAGACGUUAUAACCAGAGGGAAGGCGAAGGGUUAGUUUCGCAAUAUGAAGUCCAAAAUAAAGGAUAUACAGACACGUGGCAUUUUUUUUGGGAUUAAUGUAUGGGUAUA